UUUUCUUUCUACUGCUUGCAUUAGUAUUUUGCUACUGUUGUAGUUAGCUCCUAUAUCUGAUGCAUAGCCUGUUUUUGAUGAACUGCUACUUUCAGCACUGUACUUUAAAUCUGCAUAGUAUAGGUGGAACAUUCAUCCCCUCUGACCCCGUAGUCCAAUUGCUACGCUUGUUUACAACUCUCGAUCACUCAUCGACGAGCCAGACCCGGCACAACACAUACACC
rnacentral:lncRNA from 1 species